rnacentral:rRNA from 1 species
UACGUAGGGUGCAAGCGUUGUCCGGAAUUAUUGGGCGUAAAGAGCUCGUAGGCGGUUUGUCGCGUCUGCUGUGAAAUCCCGAGGCUCAACCUCGGGCCUGCAGUGGGUACGGGCAGACUAGAGUGAUGUAGGGGAGACUGGAAUUCCUGGUGUAGCGGUGAAAUGCGCAGAUAUCAGGAGGAACACCGAUGGCGAAGGCAGGUCUCUGGGCAUUAACUGACGCUGAGGAGCGAAAGCAUGGGGAGCGAACAGG